AUGCCAAUGUUUGCCCUUACAGCCCUUAAAAUCCCAGUAAAGCUGUUGAAAGAAAUAGACAAAUGUAGACGCCGAUUCCUUUGGGGCCACGAUCAGGAGCUCACCGGCGGCAGCUGCAAGGUGAGUUGGGCUCGGGUUUGCUCCCCGAUCGAGCACGGAGGCCUUGGCAUCCUCGAUCUGCCCAAGUUCAGCCGUGCUCUCCGCCUCCGCUGGCUCUGGCACGCAUGA
rnacentral:rRNA from 1 species